rnacentral:misc_RNA from 1 species
CCAAAUCAACGGCCGAAAGGCCUUGCCUUAGGGGGGAAACCCCCGACGGUAAACCCUUUGUGAAAACCCUUCGUUUGCCUCGGCGGCACGUCCCCUCACGGGGGUGGUCAGCCCGCCGACGGCACCAACCAAAACUCUUUUUUUGAAUUGAAGAAUGUCUGAAUCAAUGGUCGAAUGACUAUA